CUCUCACAAAGGCUGAUAUAUCUACAUGGACGGGAGUCACACUCCUUCGACGGUCGAUGAUACAUCGGACUCUCACAAAGAUCGAUAUAUCUACAUGGAUGGAAGUCACACUCCUUCGACGGUCGAUGAAACAUCGGACCCUUACAAGGACCGAUAUAUCUAUAUUGACGGGAGUUGGCACUCCUUCUACGGUCGAACUUUCGGACC
rnacentral:lncRNA from 1 species